GCCUGGGUAGCUCAGUUGGUAGAGCGUCAGACUUUUAAUUCAAGGAUCCAGGGUUCAAGUCCCUGUUCAGGCG